GCUAACUCCGUGCCAGCAGCCGCGGUAAUACGGAGGGUGCAAGCGUUAAUCGGAAUUACUGGGCGUAAAGCGCGCGUAGGCGGAUGAUUAAGUCAGAUGUGAAAGCCCAGGGCUCAACCUUGGAAUUGCAUUUGAUACUGGUUAUCUAGAGUACAGCAGAGGGGGGUGGAAUUUCAGGUGUAGCGGUGAAAUGCGUAGAUAUCUGGAGGAACAUCAGUGGCGAAGGCGACCCCCUGGGCUGAUACUGACGCUGAGGUGCGAAAGCGUGGGUAGCGAACAGGAUUAGAUACCCCUGUAGUC
rnacentral:rRNA from 1 species